CCCCCCCCCCAUGCUAACUGCUGACUUUGCUGCCUCCCACCCUUGGCUUUUUAACCUCAAAAUGUAAAAGGCUUGUACCUAUUGCCUCCUUUGAAUCCCCCACUUUUCUUCCUCAUCCCUUUUUAUAAUAGGCCUAAUUUAUAGAGAUAAGUGCUUCUAUUGGGCCAUCAAGAGUCAGACCUCAAUAAGGUUUAUACUAGCACUUCAAUAAAUAAUAAAUGUUUUGAUGAGAAUAAAGGAAGGAUUUUUAGGGGAAAAAAUUGCCAGCUUUUUUUCUUUUAAAGCUUCAGUUUAGUUAUAGUUACACAAAAGGAUUAAAAAGUAUCUAAAAUUCUUUGAUUAAAUUUAAACCAUGUUGGUGAGGUACCUGGAGGGAGGGGAUGGGGAGGAUACUGGGUGUGCUAGUAAUAAGUGGAGUCCUAACUAGACAUUGGUCAGAUGAUCUUACAUUUUCCUAAUUUUGUAGCUUGUUGCUUUCCACAAACAUACGCAUACUUCAGUAGGCAGUUUCCUUUACUGUGUGCAUUUUUACUGUACACUGUAUAGAGUAUCUGUUAAGUAAAAUAUAUAUGUAAAUUUAUGUCCUUGUAUUCCAAAUGUUAGAUGGAAAAGCAGAGGAGCAACACUUCACUUUUCUGGCCCCUGGGGAAAUAAAAUGAUUAAUGUACAUAGGAUGUCACUUUUUCAAAGAUAUCUACAUCUGUGUUUUUAAUGUGUGUGGUAAUAUAAAAAUUUGAAACUUCCUGUUGGCUUCAGUGUUCUUGGUGAUCAGUAUAGCAAGAGUUUUGUUUCCUGAGGUAGACUUUCUCAAAAUAGAAACUAUUCACUAAGAAACUUAAAACCAUCAGGACUGUAGAUUGACUUAGUAGCAAGAAGUUAAAUCCCAUAUUCUGUUCAUCCUUUUCCCUUCUACAUGUUGUCAUUUUUAAGUUCAUGUACUUCUCCUUUCAUAAUAAGGGCCUGCUUCUAAGUUACUGUGUUUCUGAUCGCACUGAAGCUAAAAUAAGCUCAGAUGAAGAAUGGGGAACCUACAAAGUAACUUACAGCAUCAGAGGCAAAUUCUGCUGUUCUUAAUGUGUAUGAUACCUUUUACAAGUAGCUGAUCAGCAACAACAGCCACCAAUCUGGCUAGGUCGGUCUGAUUUAUUAGAUUUCUACCCGAGCCUACAAACGUAACCCCAAGGAAUGGAAACUUCCCUCAAUUUCUUCAUGGAACAUUGAGAAAAUAUUGUCACCAGCUAAGAGGAAACAAUUGGAAAGCAGUCUUGUUACGAUUGAAAAAGGCCCAUGGUGAUGGAUCAUUAUUUCAAAAAGAAAAAAAUCAUGUGAAAAGGAAUAGUGGUUCCUCUUGAUGUAUAGUAUGCCUGUAUUAUAGUUUUUACAAAAUUGUGAACUUGUGUAAUAGUAUAAUAGGAGAUAUUGUUGAAUUUCUAACUGUUUAUACAUUUAAAUUCAUAUAUGUAAUGUUUGUUUUAUCAAUUACAAUCUGAAUUUCUAAGAAGCAUGUUGACUUUUGCAAUAAAGAUGCAAUAUGGAAUGGUUCACAGUUGGGGAAAAAAAAGAAAA